rnacentral:rRNA from 1 species
AGUUUGAUCCUGGCUCAGAUUGAACGCUGGCGGCAUGCUUUACACAUGCAAGUCGAACGGUAACAGGGAGCUUGCUCCGCUGACGAGUGGCGAACGGGUGAGUAAUAUAUCGGAACGUACCUAGAAGUGGGGGAUAACGUAGCGAAAGUUACGCUAAUACCGCAUACGAUCCACGGAUGAAAGUAGGGGACCUUCGGGCCUUAUGCUUUUAGAGCGGCCGAUAUCUGAUUAGCUAGUUGGUGAGGUAAAGGCUCACCAAGGCGACGAUCAGUAGCUGGUCUGAGAGGACGACCAGCCACACUGGAACUGAGACACGGUCCAGACUCCUACGGGAGGCAGCAGUGGGGAAUUUUGGACAAUGGGCGCAAGCCUGAUCCAGCAAUGCCGCGUGAGUGAAGAAGGCCUUCGGGUUGUAAAGCUCUUUUGUCAGGGAAGAAACGGUGAGGGCUAAUAUCCCUUGCUAAUGACGGUACCUGAAGAAUAAGCACCGGCUAACUACGUG